rnacentral:rRNA from 1 species
UACGGAGGGUGCGAGCGUUGUCCGGAUUUAUUGGGUUUAAAGGGUGCGUAGGCGGCUGUCUAAGUCUGGGGUGAAAGCCCGUUGCUCAACAGCGGAACGGCCUUGGAUACUGCUGAGCUUGAGCACAGACGAGGUUGGCGGAAUGGACGGUGUAGCGGUGAAAUGCAUAGAUACCGUCCAGAACCCCGAUUGCGAAGGCAGCUGACUAGGCUGUAGCUGACGCUGAGGCACGAAAGCGUGGGGAGCGAACAGG